rnacentral:rRNA from 1 species
UACGUAGGGGGCAAGCGUUGUCCGGAAUCAUUGGGCGUAAAGCGCACGUAGGCGGCCCGGUAAGUCCGUUGUGAAAGUCAGAGGCUCAACCUCUGGAGGCCAAUGGAUACUGCCGGGCUAGAGUCCGGAAGAGGCGAGUGGAAUUCCUGGUGGUAGCGGUGGAAUGCGCAGAUAUCAGGAGGAACACCAAUGGCGAAGGCAGCUCGCUGGGACGGUACUGACGCUGAGGUGCGAAAGCGUGGGGAGCGAACAGG